GACGAACGCUGGCGGCGUGCCUAACACAUGCAAGUUGAGCGACGAACCAGGGCUUGCCCUGGGGCAAAGCAGCGAACGGGUGAGUAACACGUGGGUAACCUACCCCGAGAACCGGGACAACCCGAUGAAACUCGGGCUAAUACCGGACGUGCUCGCUGGACUUCGGUUCAGUUCGUAAAGGAAGCUUCGUCCUCCGUAUCGGGAGUGGCCCGCGGGCCUUUAGUUUGUUGGUGGGGUAACGGCCCACCAAGGCCGCGGUCGGUAGCUGGUCUGAGAGGGCGAUCAGCCACACUGGGACUGAGACACGGCCCAGACUCCUACGGGAGGCAGCAGUGGGGAAUCUUGCGCAAGGAGCGAAAGCGGGCCGCAGCAACGCCGCGUGGGGGAAGAAGGCCUUCGGGUUGUAAACCCCUUUGAGGAGGGAGGAAGGUUCGGCGGUGAAUAGCCGUCCGGUCUGACGGUACCUUAACAAGAAGCCCCGGCUAACUACGUG
rnacentral:rRNA from 1 species